GACGAACGCUGGCGGCGUGCUUAACACAUGCAAGUCGAGCGGUAAGGCCCUUUCGGGGGUACACGAGCGGCGAACGGGUGAGUAACACGUGGGUGACCUGCCCUCAGCUCUGGGACUAAGCCUGGGAAACCGGGUCUAAUACUGGAUAUGACUCCAUGACGCAUGUUGUGGGGUGGAAAGCCUUGUGCGGCUGAGGAUGGGCCCGCGGCCUAUCAGCUUGUUGGUGGGGUGANGGCCUACCAAGGCGACGACGGGUAGCCGGCCUGAGAGGGCGACCGGCCACACUGGGACUGAGACACGGCCCAGACUCCUACGGGAGGCAGCAGUGGGGAAUCUUGCGCAAUGGGCGAAAGCCUGACGCAGCGACGCCGCGUGAGGG
rnacentral:rRNA from 1 species